rnacentral:rRNA from 1 species
UACGUAGGGUGCAAGCGUUACUCGGAAUUACUGGGCGUAAAGCGUGCGCAGGCGGAUCGUUAAGUAGGAAGUGAAAUAUGCGAGCUCAACUCGGAUGCUGCUUCCUAUACUGGCGAUCUUGAGUGGCGGAGAGGAAGAGGGAACGACACGUGUAGCGGUGAAAUGCGUUGAUAUGUGUCGGAACACCAAUGGCGAAAGCACUCUUCUGGACGCCAACUGACGCUCAUGCACGAAAGCCAAGGUAGCAAACAGG